rnacentral:rRNA from 1 species
CGAUAACGAACGAGACCUCGACCUGUUAAAUAGUUCAACAUAUCCUUGUGAUAUGCUUGUGACUUCUUAGAGGGACUAUCAGGAGAGUAUCCGAUGGAAGUUCGAGGCAAUAACAGGUCUGUGAUGCCCUUAGAUGUUCUGGGCCGCACGCGCGCUACACUGAUUCGUUCAUCGAGUUUACAGCCUUGACCGGAAGGUCUGGGUAAUCUUCUCAAAGCGAAUCGUGCUGGGGAUAGAUUAUUGUAAUUUUUAAUCUUCAACGAGGAAUUCCUAGUAAACGCAAGUCAUCAACUUGCAUUGAUUACGUCCCUGCCCUUUGUACACACCGCCCGUCGCUACUACCGAUUGAAUGGCUA